CCCCGGCGCCACAAGUGGUUAUCACGAUUAUUGGGCCUAAAGCGUUCGUAGCCGGUUUGGUAAAUCUCUUGUGAAAUUGUUCGGCUUAACCGGACAGCGUGCAGGAGACACUGCCAAACUCGAGACCGGGAGGGGUUAGAAGUAUUCCAUGGGGACUGGUAAAAUGGGAUAAUCCAUGGAAGACUACCGAUGGCGAAGGCAUCUAACCAGAACGGAUCUGACAGUGAGGAACGAAAGCCAGGGGAGCGAACCGG
rnacentral:rRNA from 1 species